rnacentral:sRNA from 1 species
GGAGGGAUCAUUACAGAGUUACAAACUCCAAACCUUUGUGAACAUACCAUUGUUGCUUCGGCGGCCUCGCCCCGGGCGUCGCUGGCACCGAGAGGUGUCGGCGGCGGCCCGGACCCAGGCGACCGCCGGGGGACCCAAACUCUUGUUUUUCAGUGUAUUAUCUGAGUGGCAUAAGCAAAUAAUCAAAACUUUCAGCAACGGAUCUCUUGGUUCUGGCAUCGAUGAAGAACGCAGCGAAAUGCGAUAAGUAAUGUGAAUUGCAGAAUUCAGUGAAUCAUCGAAUCUUUGAACGCACAUUGCGCCCGCCAGUACUCUGGCGGGCAUGCCUGUCCGAGCGUCAUUUCAACCCUCAGCACCCGCUUUCAGUGGGAGCUGGCGUUGGGGAUCGGCCGUCCUCGCGGCGGCCGGCCCCGAAACGAAGUGGCGGUCACGUCUCGACCUCCUCUGCGCAGUAGCGAUACCUCACAGCCUGGAUAGCGACGCGACCAUGCCGUUAAACCCCAACUUUUUCAGGUUGACCUCGGAUCAGGUAGGAAUACCCGCUGAACUUAAGCAUAUCAAUAAGCGGAGGAAAAGAAACCAACAGGGAUUGCCUUAGUAACGGCGAGUGAAGCGGCAACAGCUCAAAUUUGAAAUCUGGCCCCCAGGCCCGAGUUGUAAUUUGUAGAGGAUGCUUCUGGCGACGCGACUUCCGAGUUCCCUGGAACGGGACGCCAAAGAGGGUGAGAGCCCCGUCCGGUCGUUCGCCUAGCCGAUGUGAAGCUCCUUCGACGAGUCGAGUAGUUUGGGAAUGCUGCUCUAAAUGGGAGGUAUACGUCUUCUAA